rnacentral:rRNA from 1 species
GAUCAUGGCUCAGGAUGAAGCUAGCGACAGGCUUAACACAUGCAAGUCGAGGGGCAGCACAGGGUAGCAAUACUUGGGUGGCGACCGGCGCACGGGUGAGUAACGCGUAUGCAACUUACCUAUCAGAGGGGGAUAGUCCGGCGAAAGUCGGAUUAAUACCCCAUGAAACAGGGGUCCCGCAUGGGAAUAUUUGUUAAAGAUUCAUCGCUGAUAGUUAGGCAUGCGUUCCAUUAGG